rnacentral:rRNA from 1 species
UUAGUGCGGGCGGGUGAGUAACGCGUGGGUAACCUGCCCUAUACUGGGGGAUAACAGCUAGAAUGGCUGCUAAUACCGCAUGAGCGCACAGUCCCGCAUGGGACAGUGUGGAAAACUCCGGUGGUAUAGGAUGGACCCGCGUCCGAUCAGCUGGUUGGUGGGGUAACGGCCCACCAAGGCGACGAUCGGUAGCCGACCUGANAGGGUNACCGGCCACAUUGGGACUGAGACACGGCCCAAACUCCUACGGGAGGCAGCAG